rnacentral:rRNA from 1 species
GACGUAGGGUGCAAGCGUUAAUCGGAAUUACUGGGCGUAAAGCGUGCGCAGGCGGUUUUGUAAGUCUGUCGUGAAAGCCCCGGGCUCAACCUGGGAAUUGCGAUGGAGACUGCAAGGCUUGAAUCUGGCAGAGGGGGGUAGAAUUCCACGUGUAGCAGUGAAAUGCGUAGAGAUGUGGAGGAACACCGAUGGCGAAGGCAGCCCCCUGGGUCAAGAUUGACGCUCAUGCACGAAAGCGUGGGGAGCAAACAGG